CUCACAUGUGUCCAGCUCUGUGUCUGUGAAGAGUGACCGUUCAAAAGGUGAACCACCAAACUUCAGUGAGAAAAAAACAUCACCAAACAAAAGGGUUCAACAUGAGAAAUCAGACACAAAGGUUCAGAAGUGCCACUUCCAGAAGAAGUUCAGAGAAAAUCUCCACAGCAUAUUCCAGGAUCUUGAGAACAAAAUAAUAAUAUUUUUGAAGUACGAGCUGGAAAAGUUUAAGAAAAUAUUAAAAAAGGAAAACACAAUACUUUGUGAGAGAUAAAGAU
rnacentral:lncRNA from 1 species